GCCCCUCCUCCGCCUUCUUGCGGUCACCACUGGGUGUCGCCAUUGCUCCGCCAAGGGUGCGGGAGACUCGGUGCUCUGAGGCUCCUCCUUCGUCCCCUCCUCUCUAAAUAGACAGGGUACAGCGCCGGAAGAUGGACCUGUCUCCUCUUUGAGCCUUCCACGGUGGUGCCCUAAAGGUCGGCCCUAUGCCAAGCAAAGCCCGCGCCCAGGCUCCAAUAUCCAGAUUCUGCAGAAGCCAGAGCUACCAGUUUGUGCCAGCGGCACAUGAAGCUGCCCAGAAGGGAGGAAUUCAAUCAGCACCAGGAGAAUGCAAUGCAGUCCUGUUCCUAAACUCCAGGGGAGGCAUGAGUGGCAGGGGAGGACACAGCUAGGUGAGGACACAGUUCUUUUUUAUGUGUCUGUUUCCCC
rnacentral:lncRNA from 1 species